CAAGUUCCAAUUAAACAGCAUGGACCCAGAAGAUAUUCUUAAGGCUCUCUUGCUUUUUAUGAUUCUUAUUAUGUUUUGCGCCACGGUGUGCGACAUGUUGGUGCUUAUUAACACCGUUCAUGAAGACAACAACCGUCGUCAACCCCGACAACAGAACAGGCACAGGUUGAGAAGACGCAUUCAACGUCGCAACAAUUGGGAGAGACAAAUUCUGCUUAACUUAAAUUAAAUAAGAACCACAGAGCAACGUCCAGCAUUCCAGGAGGCGCCAUGUAUAUCAACUGGCUUUCGCGGACCAAACAUUUUAUAUUGUUUCUUUAGUGGUUGAUCAAUUCUCAAUUUCAACAGUCUUGGACCUUGUCUAGACGUCAUUGACGUAAUUUGCGUCACAAAAAAUGCGUCUACAAAAUUUUAAUUACCUUUUAUUUUUAACGGGAACAGCACAACAACACCUAGUAGCCAGGGUUUCCUAUGAGAUCAAUGGGUUUUGCUGAACCAAUUACUUUACACUGUUUGUUUUUCCAGUUUAUGUUAAUUAUUAUCAUUCAUUUUUUGUAAAACUUUAGUUAUAAAAUUGAGUAAAUAAAUAAU